rnacentral:SRP_RNA from 1 species
GCUGGGCAUGGUGGCGCAUGCCUGUAAUCCGAGCUACUUGGGAGGCUGAGGCAAGAGAAUCACUUGAACCCAGGAGGUGGAGGUUGCAGUGAGCCGAGAUGGCACCACUGCACUCCAGCCUGGGUAACAGAGCAAUACUCUGUCUCAA